rnacentral:rRNA from 1 species
UACAGAGGGGGCAAGCGUUAUUCGGAAUUAUUGGGCGUAAAGGGCGCGUAGGCGGCCUGGCAAGUGACGGGUGAAAGCCCUCGGCUCAACCGAGGAACUGCCUGUCAUACUGCCGGGCUUGAGUCCGGGAGAGGUGAGUGGAAUUCCACGUGUAGCAGUGAAAUGCGUAGAGAUGUGGAGGAACACCGAUGGCGAAGGCAGCCCCCUGGGUCAAGAUUGACGCUCAUGCACGAAAGCGUGGGGAGCAAACAGG